GUGGUUAGACACUUUCUAAAGAGA
rnacentral:snRNA from 1 species